CAUUUGUUUGCAAAAAAUGGUUAAUAUAAAGAUCUUCACCUGUUAACAAAAACAAAAAAAAACCCAGCCUGCUGGGUGUUAACAACUGUGUAGAAAACGAAUAUGACAAAAAAAAAAAAUUGCGCAAAAGAACCUGGGUGUGAGGAGAGGAUUUUCGGAAAAUUCCCAAUAUCCGAUUUUUCUGUCAUAACUUUCGGGAAAAUGGAUAUAUAUUGAUUUUUGUUUACAGAAUCCCACGUUUUUGGUUAUGGAGGAUCCGAUUCUGAAACAAAAAAUUUCAAAAAUCACAU